rfam:Prochlorococcus phage P-SSM7, complete genome.
UGUGAGGUGGCGAAACGGUAAACGCUCUAGUCUGUUUAACUAGUGUCUCUGGCGGGACUUGUAGGUUCGACUCCUACCCUCACAG